rnacentral:rRNA from 1 species
GACGAACGCUGGCGGCGUGCUUAACACAUGCAAGUCGAACGAGCGGCGGACGGGUGAGUAAUGUCUGGGAAACUGCCUGAUGGAGGGGGAUAACUACUGGAACCGGUAGCUAAUACCGCAUACCCUCAGAAGUGCCCAGAUGGGAUUAGCUAGUAGGGGGGGUAACGGCUCACCUCGGCGACGAUCCCCAGCUGGUCUGAGAGGAUGACCAGCCACACUGGAACGGAGACACGGUCCAGACUCCUACGGGAGGCAGCAGUGGGGAAUAUUGCACAAUGGGCGCAAGCCUGAUGCAGCCAUGCCGCGUGUGUGAAGAAGGCCUUCGGGUUGUAAAGCACUUUCAGCGGGGAGGCGUUACCCGCAGAAGAAGCACCGGCUAACUCCGUGCCAGCAGCCGCGGUAAUUC